rnacentral:lncRNA from 1 species
CUGAUCUCUUUAAAGCCUCUGCCUUCCGUUUCUACUUUAAAAGAGCCAAGCAAUAUAUUGACACUCAAGAAGAUAUGGAGAAGGAACUAGAACACAUCUAUAGAACAGGCCACUUAUAUGAAUAUAGCAAAGGAUUCCUUAGGAGGAUAUAGAAUAAACUAUAACAAUAACCAGUCACUUGAAACACUGUGAAAGAAGAAAAUGCUGGUUAUGAGCCUAUCCCAUUUGCCAUGAAGAACUCCAAAGUCGUUAGAAGGAUAAUCGAAAGAUCUAAUAAAAAAAUGGCCCCUAUAAGGUAGCCAACUCUACACAACCAGCUUAGAAAUGAAAAAGAUGAAUUUGGAUAAGUGGCACAAAUCUGGAGUAUAUAGGGUACCGGUCAAGAAUAACACCUUUGAAGAUGAUAAGGUAUACAUAGGAGUAACCACCAGAACACUUAACCAGAGACUGAAAGAGCACAAAAAUGAUUUGCAUAAAAGUAGAAUCAGUUCAGCGCUAGUGGUGAUUGCUUAUAAGUAUGACCUAUAAAUGGUAUGGUCUAAAGUGGAAGUUGUUAAAAUUUAAAGAAAGAUAAACACGCUUUACUAGCAGAGAC